rfam:Polynucleobacter acidiphobus strain MWH-PoolGreenA3 chromosome
GAACUGGUAUCAUUACGCUAUCAGUAACUAAUAAUUUGCCCUAGCGCUUAAAGACACUUACCUCCCCGCAAUUUCGCCUCGGGUUUGUCUUUUGGGGCAAAAAGUGUUGGACGGCAACAGGGUAUUGGAGAUUGUUUGUCGCCC